UCAGCUUUGAGGAUGGAUAAGAGUGAUGU
rnacentral:piRNA from 1 species